rnacentral:misc_RNA from 1 species
GAUGAAGAACGUAGCAAAAUGCGAUAAGUAAUGUGAAUUGCAGAAUUCAGUGAAUCAUCGAAUCUUUGAACGCACAUUGCGCCCGCCAGUAUUCUGGCGGGCAUGCCUGUUCGAGCGUCAUUUCAACCCUCAAGCACAGCUUGGUGUUGGGACUCGCGUUAAUUCGCGUUCCUCAAAUUGAUUGGCGGUCACGUCGAGCUUCCAUAGCGUAGUAGUAAAACCCUCGUUACUGGUAAUCGUCGCGGCCACGCCGUUAAACCCCAACUUCUGAGUGUUGACCUCGGAUCAGGUAGGAAUACCCGCUGAACUUAAGCAUAUCAAUAAGCGGAGGA